rnacentral:rRNA from 1 species
CGGAGGGUGCGAGCGUUGUCCGGAAUCAUUGGGCGUAAAGGGCGCGUAGGUGGCCCGGUCAGUCUUUGGUGAAAGCGCGGGGCUCAACCCUGCGUCGGCCAGGGAUACUGCCGCGGCUCGAGCACUGUAGAGGCAGGCGGAAUUCCGGGUGUAGCGGUGGAAUGCGUAGAGAUCCGGAAGAACACCGGUGGCGAAGGCGGCCUGCUGGGCAGUAUGGCUGACACUGAGGCGCGACAGCGUGGGGAGCAAACAGGAUUAGAUACCCUGGUAGUCCACGCCGUAAACGAUGGGCACUAGGCGCUUGGGGGAGCGACCCCCCGAGGGCCGGCGCUAACGCAUUAAGUGCCCCGCCUGGGGAGUACGGCCGCAAGGCUG